CGUUCGGUGGAAACGAGAAUAAAACGUGAAGGAUAACGUUGCGUCAGCAACGGCCCGUAGGGUGAGGCGAAGCCGAGUCAUCCUGCACGACCCACCA
rnacentral:sRNA from 1 species